AACGAACGCUGGCGGCGUGCUUAACACAUGCAAGUCGAACGCGAACGAUUUUCUUCGGAGAAUCUAGUAGAGUGGCGCACGGGUGAGUAACGCGUAAGUUAUCUACCCUCCCAUCUGGAAUAACUCACCGAAAGGUGUGCUAAUACCGGAUACGUUGGAAACAAGAAAGGUGGCCUCUUAUAAGCUACCGUGGGGGGAUGAGCUUGCGUACCAUUAGCUAGUUGGUAGGGUAAUGGCCUACCAAGGCAACGAUGGUUAGCGGGUCUGAGAGGAUGAUCCGCCACACUGGAACUGGAACACGGACCAGACUCCUACGGAGGCAGCAGUGAGGAAUAUUGCGCAAUGGGGGAAACCCUGACGCAGCGACGCCGCGUGGAUGAUGAAGGCCCUUGGGUCGUAAAAUCCUGUCAGAAGGAAGAAUGCUAUAGUAUUAAUACUGCUAUAGUUUGACGGUACCUUCAAAGGAAGCACCGGCUAACUCCGUGCCAGCG
rnacentral:rRNA from 1 species